AUUCAAGAAUUUCCUUAAGGCCUACCGUGAAGACGUCGGAGGCAAGUUAAGACGUUGGGGAGCAGCAUCUACUGCAGGAGUUCAACCAGACGCUGAACAGAACAGCAGUUGACUAACCUGUGAUACUGUUAUCAGAUGAAGACCCCUAGGAAGUCUACAGAUUAGAAUGGAAGGAAGAAUCUGGAUUACAGCUUGGAUCAGAGAAGAAGAGUCUUGGUUUUUAUAUAAUUAAGAGGCAAGAAGUAUGGCAAGCAUGGCAAGGAACUCUUAUUUCCAGUUUAAAGAAGGGGCGGGAGUCUCCCUACUGAGCUCCACUUUUCUUUGGAGGCAAGAGGAGUGGCAUUUGUAACUCUGGGUAAGAGUUGAAAUUACUCACAUAGAAGAAGGAGAUGGGACCGGCAUGGAAACUAAUCAUAAUCCCAAAGAUGAAAGUCAGCUGGGACAGCAUGAUAUGAAGUGCCACAGCAGCCAGAACGUUGAUCAGCAGAGCACUCACCAGGAAGAAGGAACCUGUGGAAGAAGAUGUUAGGUAGAAGGUGAAGUUUCAAGUCCAGGUAAACUGAUAUUGACAAAAGCAAGGUAUGGUUGAAUUCUGGAUUGUCCUUCAACUGAAUAACUUUUCUCAUUUGAAAGUGGCCAUUGAGAAGUAAGAAAAAUCAAAAAAGAGAACUGUGUCUCCACAUAUUGUGACCAACUCAUGGGAUUUAGAUGGUGGUGGUUUAGGUAUUUAGUCUCUUUGUGUUAUGGGU
rnacentral:lncRNA from 1 species